rnacentral:rRNA from 1 species
CCUUCGGGUAGUGGAUAGUGGCAGACGGGUGAGUAACGCGUGGGAACGUGCCUUUCGGUUCGGAAUAACUCAGGGAAACUUGGGCUAAUACCGGAUACGCCCUUCGGGGAAAGAUUUAUCGCCGAAAGAUCGGCCCGCGUCAGAUUAGCUUGUUGGUGAGGUAAUGGCUCACCAAGGCGACGAUCUGUAGCUGGUCUGAGAGGAUGAUCAGCCACACUGGGACUGAGACACGGCCCAG